GGUCUGUGUGGGGUUCUCCUCCAUGGUGGCUGAGGUCUGUGUGGGGUUCUCCUCCAUGGUGGCUGAGGUCUACGUGUGGGGCUCACCUCCAUGGUGGCUGAGGUCUGUGUGUGGGGCUCACCUCCAUGGUGGCUAAGGUCUGUGUGUGGGGCUCACCUCCGUGGUGGCUGAGGUCUGUGUGGGGGGCUCACCUCCAUGGUGGCUAUGUCCACCCAAUGCACCUCCAUACAUGUACAUGGAGAAGAUUCCCUGAAGUUCCCCUGAGCCUCCCUUUCUGAGGGGAGAUUGAGAAACGGGGGUCAAUGGCACAAGCUGUGGCCUGUCAUGCAAUUGCAACUCACCCUCAUCACCUUCCUCCCCCACUGUACUUUAUAAUUUCCCCUCUCCUUGGUCAGCGUCCCCUCUGCUGCUCUCAAUGGCUUACCUGGUGUUUUGUUUUGCACUGUAUCCUCCAGAAAGGUAUGCUGAGGUUCUAACCCAGGCAUCUGUGAACAUGACUUUAUUUAGAAACAGGGUCUUUGCAGAUGUGAUUAGUCAUGAUGAUGCCAAACUGGAGGAGAGGAGGCUCCGAUUCCAAAUGACUGGUGUCCACAUAAGAACAGAAGAAGACACAGAAACACAGAGGGAAGACGGCAGGUGUGAAGGCAGACAGCGACUGGAGUGAUGCAUCUAGCCCAGUAGCACAUAAGAAGCUGUUUGCGAAGAUCUGUAAUUCCGUACUGCAGGUGGCAUGGCGUGCUCCAGAGCCCCAGUGGAUGUCUGACCUCGUGGAAGAGGAAACCAGUGUAAAUGCCAGGUCAGUAAACUGGACAUGUGUGUGCACGGAGACGGGGAAGAGGUCUGACAGACCCCAUGCUGUGAGCUCAGGCUUUUUCCCCCUGAUGCGUGCCACCUGCUGA